rnacentral:rRNA from 1 species
UACGUAGGGCGCAAGCGUUAUCCGGAAUUAUUGGGCGUAAAGAGCUCGUAGGCGGUUUGUCGCGUCUGCCGUGAAAGUCCGGGGCUCAACUCCGGAUCUGCGGUGGGUACGGGCAGACUAGAGUGAUGUAGGGGGAGACUGGAAUUCCUGGUGUAGCGGUGAAAUGCGCAGAUAUCAGGAGGAACACCGAUGGCGAAGGCAGGUCUCUGGGCAUUAACUACGUGAGGAGCGAAAGCAUGGGGGAGCGAACAGG